GAAGGAACGGUGCUGCUAUCUAUGAAAGUUUAAUCUGUGUGUGAAGUGAAUGUAAACAAAGCAGGGUACUUUUUCACUCAAGUAAAAUUAGUUAAUUCUCUGUUUGCUCAUUUGAUUUUUUCAGCGUUGAAGUACUAAAAAGAUUAAACGACUUCUAUUUAGUUAUUAAAACUUAUUUUGCGGUACAUCAUUGCUGGUAUUUCGUGAGUAAAAAGCGGGAAAAAACUCCUCUUCCGGCACUAGUAAUCCGCAUAGGUCAUGGAUCUGAAAAGUUGCUCGAAUGGGCUUGCAAAAACAUUUCAUGACAGUAUUUGUAAUUCUGAUAAGAACAGUGUUAUGUUCCAGAUUUAGUAUAUCGAUUCAAUCCCUCCCAAACAAGUAAAAUAAACGAUACGUAAUAUGGAUUCAAUGAUUCAGAAUCUAGUCAACGAAAACUACUUGGGUGCAAUUUACAUUUCUCUGGCAAUAAAUUGUGUUCCCCCCAGUUUGAACCUCCCAACUAUGCGAGUAAUUCUGAGGACUUCUUCUGUACCCGCUGCUUCCUGUCCCUACUAAGGAGUUGAGCUGUAAUUUUAUCGAUUGUCGUUCAAUGCGUGUCGUCAAUUUAUAAACUUAUAUAUUUAUGUAUUUAUUAAAUUUAUUCAUCUGACAAUAAAACGUAGUUAAUGAACAAAUGUCAAAUGACCUUCAAA